CCUACGGGGGGCAGCAGUGAGGAAUAUUGGUCAAUGGACGAGAGUCUGAACCAGCCAAGUAGCGUGAAGGAUGACUGCCCUAUGGGUUGUAAACUUCUUUUAUAUAGGAAUAAAAUGUUCCACGUGUGGGAUUUUGUCUGUACCAUAUGAAUAAGGAUAGGAUAACUCCGGGCCAGCAGCCGCGGGAAUACGGAGGAGCCGAGCGUUAUCCGGCUUUAUUGGUUUUAAAGGGAGCGUAGGUGGAUUGUUAAGUCAGUUGUGAAAGUUUGAGGCUCAACCGUAAAAUUGCAGUUGAAACUGGCAGUAUUGAGUACAGUAGAGGUGGGCGGAAUUCGUGGUGUAGCGGUGAAAUGCUUAGAUAUCACGAAGAACUCCGAUUGCGAAGGCAGCUCACUGGACUGCAACUGACACUGAGGCUCGAAAGUGUGGGUAUCAAACAGGAUUAGAUACCCGGGUAGUC
rnacentral:rRNA from 1 species